GGCUCAUUGGUCUAGGGGUAUGAUUCUCGCUUUGGGUGCGAGAGGUCUCGGGUUCAAAUCCCGGACGAGCCC
rnacentral:tRNA from 1 species